rnacentral:rRNA from 1 species
CCUACGGGAGGCAGCAGUGAGGAAUAUUGGUCAAUGGACGAGAGUCUGAACCAGCCAAGUAGCGUGAAGGAUGACGGCCCUAUGGGUUGUAAACUUCUUUUAUAUGAGGAUAAAAUGUUCCACGUGUGUGAUUUUGUAUGUACCAUAUGAAUAAGGAUCGGCUAACUCCGUGCCAGCAGCCGCGGUAAUACGGAGGAUCCGAGCGUUAUCCGGAUUUAUUGGGUUUAAAGGGAGCGUAGGUGGAUUGUUAAGUUAGUUGUGAAAUGUUGCGGCUCAACCGUAAAAUUGCAGUUGAUACUGGCAGUCUUGAGUACAGUAGAGGUGGGCGGAAUUCGUGGUGUAGCGGUGAAAUGCUUAGAGAUCACGAAGAACUCCGAUUGCGAAGGCAGUUCACUGGACUGCAACUGACACUGAGGCUCGAAAGUGUGGGUAUCAAACAGGAUUAGAUACCCGUGUAGUC